GGGAAACUUCUGAUAAUACUGGAUAAGUUAGUAUAUCGCAUGAUAUGCAAAUGAAAGCUACGGCACUAAAGGAGAGCUUUGCGUCCUAUUAGCUAGUUGGUAAGGUAAGAGCUUACCAAGGCGAUGAUAGGUAGCCGGCCUGAGAGGGUGGACGGCCACAAGGGGACUGAGAUACGGCCCUUACUCCUACGGGAGGCAGCAGCA
rnacentral:rRNA from 1 species